rnacentral:rRNA from 1 species
GACGAACGCUGGCGGCGUGCCUAAUACAUGCAAGUAGAACGCUGAAGGAGGAGCUUGCUUCUCUGGAUGAGUUGCGAACGGGUGAGUAACGCGUAGGUAACCUGCCUGGUAGCGGGGGAUAACUAUUGGAAACGAUAGCUAAUACCGCAUAAUAGUAGAUGUUGCAUGACAUUUGCCUAAAAGGUGCAAUUGCAUCACUACCAGAUGGACCUGCGUUGUAUUAGCUAGUUGGUGGGGUAACGGCUCACCAAGGCGACGAUACAUAGCCGACCUGAGAGGGUGAUCGGCCACACUGGGACUGAGACACGGCCCAGACUCCUACGGGAGGCAGCAGUAGGGAAUCUUCGGCAAUGGACGGAAGUCUGACCGAGCAACGCCGCGUGAGUGAAGAAGGUCUUCGGAUCGUAAAGCUCUGUUGUAAGAGAAGAACGAGUGUGAGAGUGGAAAGUUCACACUGUGACGGUAUCUUACCAGAAAGGGACGGCUAACUACGUG